UGAGAUAGCAGUCACAGUGUAAGGAUGCAGAAAGAGAUUGUCAUGCUUGAAAUUAUGUGCAUGCUUCAAUCUUUGGACGGUGGAAGAAAGCAUGCAGCUGAUUGAAUGAUUGAAAGACAGCUGAUCUGCAUCAAGAGAGACAUGGCAUCAGAUGAGAAGCUCAGCUAGUGUUUGGUUUCAUACGUGUCUUUCCUCUUCAUCUGUGACAAACUGUGAUUCAAGCUCUUCUAAAUGGAUUAUUCCUCAGACAGUUGCAAACACUAAUUUAUUGUCAUGGGCUGUGACUAUACAAUGCAUGAUCCUUUGCCUUUCUAGGCAUUGUGUGAGAAACCGUUUUCUUCACUGUGGUGUUUGGUGAGGUUAAGACGUGUUUCUGUAUUUGUGAGAUGUUAGAUCUGAAUUUGAGGAACCUUGCACCAACAGGUGAAAUAAUUUCUGAAGUGAAGACCGUUCUAAUUUGAUUAUUGCUGUAAAAUUGUUCAAGUGUCUUGCUGUAUUACAAUUUUGUGGCUUUUACAUGUUGUACAUUAAUGGCCUUUUGGUUUUCACGCGUGUCUUGUCUUUAUCAAGACUUUUUAUUUUUUUUCCCUUCUGUGAGCAUCAGCAUGACUCUUGCAUUCUAUUACUGACGUGACCAUGGUUUUAGACCCUAUACUGAAUCUAUCAAUAUUGAACCGCUUUGUCUGUGCUGCCACCACUAUAUAUUGAAUGUACCAUGUACAACUAAGGAGUGUUCGAGUUUUAGGUUCUUUUUUUCCCUUCCCUUUCAAGCUGAAUGAACAAAGUGGCAUAGAUGGUCCGUGUCACCUUGUAUAUGCUUGGUUUCCUAACUUUAUAGAGAAAGUUAGUGUCUAUAAUGCAGCUUUUAACCCCGCUUUCUUUUGUCUGUUUCUUUCAUUUCCUGUUUAAGGAAGUCUAACUGCUUCUGUAGACCAAUGCUCUCUCCGAUAUCUGUGCUGUUUUGGUACUGAACCAUAGCCUUUCACACUCCUUUGGACUGUGACUAUGUAGGGCAGCCAGCAACAAAGCUGUCGUCAUUCCUGCUUUUCAUCUCUACCAGUCAGUGACAACGCAACAUUCAGGCUUUGACAAAUA